rnacentral:rRNA from 1 species
UACGUAGGGUGCGAGCGUUGUCCGGAAUUAUUGGGCGUAAAGGGCUCGUAGGCGGUCUGUCACGUCGGGAGUGAAAACUCAGGGCUUAACCCUGAGCCUGCUUCCGAUACGGGCAGACUAGAGGUAUGCAGGGGAGAAUGGAAUUCCUGGUGUAGCGGUGAAAUGCGCAGAUAUCGGGAGGGACACCAGGGGCGAAGGCGAUCACCUGGGGUUGUUCUGACGCUGAGGAGCGAAAGCUAGGGGAGCAAACGGG